GAUGAACGCUGGCGGCGUGCUUAACACAUGCAAGUCGAACGAGAAAUGUAGACGGAAACCUUCGGGCGGAAGCCUUCAUUUCGAGUGGCGGACGGGUGAGUAACGCGUGGGUAACCUGCCUCAUACAGGGGGAUAACAGUUGGAAACGACUGUUAAUACGGCAUAAGACCACAGCAUCGCAUGAUGCGGGGGUAAACACUCCGGUGGUAUGAGAUGGACCCGCGUUCGAUUAGCCAGUUGGCGGGGUAACGGCCCACCAAAGCGACGAUCGAUAGCCGAUCUGAGAGGAUGACCGGCCACAUUGGGACUGAGACACGGCCCAAACUCCUACGGGAGGCAGCAGUGGGGAAUAUUGCACAAUGGGGGAAACCCUGAUGCAGCGACGCCGCGUGAGUGAAGAAGUACUUCGGUAUGUAAAGCUCUAUCAGCAGAGAAGAAAAUGACGGUACCUGAGUAAGAAGCCCCGGCUAACUACGUG
rnacentral:rRNA from 1 species